CGCCGCGGGGUGGCGAUCCCGCGGCGGGGUGGCGAUCCCGGGGCCCGGUGGAGCACGUCCUCUCUCCCCAGACCCGGGGACCACCUGCCUUCCCUCCCGUGGGCGCACCGCUGCCGGUGGCUAUUCGAGCACCUGCGGGGCCGGAGCGCCCACCGGGGACGGGGGACCCAUUCAAUCAGCGCCCUGCGCGGAGGCUGGUUUGAGGCCCGGGCGAUGCUUGAGGGACAAGCAUGCGGCCCCGUGGCUAUGCAAACCUAGGAAGGUGACCUCGGGUAGAAGAGCCAAGUGGGGCCCGAGGUUGAUCCGAAGCUGGAAGGACCAGUCUCGGGGCGCCCGCCUGCGAGUCCAGGGCUGCGACUCCGCGGCGCCGAGCAAGCGCACAGGCCGCUUCUGGGGGCCCUCCCUCCGGCCCCUCCCCCCUCCUCGGGGGACUGUUACCUUAAUAGGCGAGAACUGGGAGAGGGCGCGGGGCGGGGGGGGGGCACCCUGCGUCCUGAGGGCUGCUCCCCACCCGGCCGGCCAGUGGAGGGAGUCAGACUCCCACGUCUUGCAGGGUUACACUGAUCUGAGGGCUUGGAAGAAUCCUAAAUUUUCGGGACCUUACUUCUGAUGUGGAGAUGGGAGAAAGGGGGCGGUUUUUGUUUUGCUUUGUUUUUAUUAAGUUAGGCUGUUGGCAGGAAAAUCAGACUCCCACUCCCAUUGACUAAGUGUCUACAAUAUGUGGUGCCAGACAGUAUGGGGGAGACGAGACAGUGUAAAAUUCGGAGAGCUUAUGCAUAAAUUCAGCGAAACUUUGAGUGCCUAUGAUAGGCUAGACAUAGUAGCAAGCCCCACGGACUCAACAAUGAGGAGACAGCCAGGCCCGGAACCACAGUCGCUGGCGGUGGAGACAGAUCUGUAAGCAAAUAAGUUAGAUCAGGAAACAAAUUGACAAGCAUUCUGACUAAUGGGAUUGGAGUGGUGUCUACUGAGGGGCCAGAUGGUCUUCCUCCUGAAGCUGUUGGAUCUGGAUGGUAUACAUAGAGUUGCUAUAUCCAUCUUCAUACCAGCCUGAGAACAGAUCCAACAUUGAGAACAGCAAAGCAGGAAGUUGAAAAGACCAGAGUCAUUGGUGACAUGGCCCCAGAACUGAACAUGACAUUUGAAGCUCUAGAAGGUUUUGUGACUAUGAAGAAAGGGCAAGACAAUUGCAGACCUUCCACCCAGGACAUUGUGGAACUGCUGAACCAACGCCUGCAGCCACCUAACUCUAGGUUCCUGAUUAUACAGGAAAGCAGGACAGCAGGGGCAGGAGCCUGGUGCCCAGGGCUGAGGAAGAAGACCUGUGCUACGGAGAGGAGGCACCAGACAGUUCCCUGGACUUCAACCUCCUGCCUGUGACUGGCUAGCGUUGGCGGUUCUCAAACCUCGGGCCUAUGGAAGCUGAGUCGUCUUCCUAAGCAAGUUGCUAAAACUGUCUCUGGAAAACUGCCUUUGUGAAGCCUUCAUCUCAGUCCCACAUUCAAGGAGGAAGCUCUGGCUUGGAUGCAGGAGUUGGUGGAGCUAGCGGAGAGCAGUGGUCAGAUGACACAAAGUCGUUGACUGGGAGCAUGGCUCUUCUGGCUGCUUUGUGUGGGCCACACGUGCUGGGUGCUAGGGAAUCCGUGUGUGUGGGGUGAGGUGCUGUCUGAGGACUUCUUGGCGCCAGUCUUCUGGGAUGAGACAGCCUGGCUCUGAGCCUCUGUCCUGCAGCUUCAUGGGAGCUGAGCCCUUUGGAGUGUGGGGCUCGAGCUCUGGAUUGCACCGGUUUCCUGUUCUGCAGUUUCCCUAGCUCUCAGGCCGCCCUGUCACCAGCACCCUUAGCGGCAAUAUCACCGAGGUUUAUUUCCUGGCAAGAAAGAAAACUUCCCAUCACUCUCCUUUGAAUGCGCACGCCGUUCCUCUGGCGCCCAUGUGCACUCUGCAGGUCUUAGCACCUGCUCCCUCAUGGGUCCUGCCACGAUCCUGUCCCAUAGUGGGCCUUGCCUCAGCUCUGGCUGGAGAGGACACAGCUGGCUACCAAGCCCCUGGAACGCCCUCCCAGGGUCCCAGACUCUGCCACCUACACAGAGAUGCAGCCAGCAGCAGCGUAGAGCUGUGGCGGAGUCGGAGGCCUUCCAGGUGGCCUGUGCGCUCCUGGGCAGCCCGCCAGGCCCAGCAGCACUCUGCAGACAUUGAGUGACCCUUUAUUUUCCAUCCCCAUCAGCAUUAUGACUCGGUUUGUGACUUUUUUUUACCUGCUCGCAUAUGUUAUCUUAGGUUUGGGCCUUGUGACUUUGUUUUGUCCUAGGGUUGCCAGAUAAAAUACAAGAUGUCCAGUUAAAUUCGAAUUUCAGAUAGAUAAGGAAUCAUUUUUUUUAAGUAUGUCCCAAAUAUUGCAUGCGUUAUCCUCAUCCUAAAAAAUGAUUCCCCAUUUAUUUGAAGUUCAGAUUUAACUGAGUGUCCUGUAUUUUUAUUUGCUAAAUUUGUAUUCACAAUGAACUGGGUGUCCUGUAUUUUUAUACGGUAAACAUGGCAGGCAACCCUAUUCUGGUCUCCCCCAUCAGAAGGGGCGUCCCUGAACUCAAGAAUGUUCUGAACUUUCUUGGGGAGGCUUCCAGCCUGAUGCAGGGACUUAACCUCACUCUUUAGGAGAAUCAUAAUGGAUGAUUCCUUCCUCAGACUGGGAGUUCCUUGAAGGGGCAGCAAGGACCUGAGGCAGGACGUUUAUCGGAGCCCUGAGCCCUGGCAGCAGCAACUGGUUAUUGCUUCUGUUCCCAGCAGCAAUGACAGAGAGUGUCAAAACUGAGCAUUCACUGGAGGCAGAGUCUCAACCCUUCAAAUAAGAUGCGAUGAAUCAUCCUGUUGAAGGGAAAUCCCUGCAGGUAAUACACUGAUAGCUUAGCUAAUUUUAGGGAGAUAGACAGGGAGAGCCUCUGGUGUUUAUGUUUUGAAAUUUCCCAUUUUUUUUUCUCCAUAAAGGAAAAAUAAACUUUGUCCUUGGGUUGUGAAGCUGAGGAGGCCUCUGGAAGCUGUGCUUAGUUAGUGACAACGCCAAGGUCUGAACAUUGCUGUUCAUUGCCCCAGGGCUCACAGGAGCCAUCACCUUCCACGCCCGUCCUUAGCUUUCUACUCAUUUCUAGGAACCCGUGCAAUGUGCACGGGUCACAUUGGAUGUUUCUGUCUUAGAAGCAUAGAAGUUACUCGGUCCCACCUGCAAGGGCAGCUCUUUCUCAAAAGGGCAGCCUUGUCUGCUUUCGCCUGAGCUCUCCUUAGUACGUUACGUUUCCCCACCACAUCAUUAUCAUCCUUUUUGCGACAUAUCAACUCUCUGAGUGCCCCUUAGAAUCCUCCGUUGGGACUUGCCUGUGGUCUUUGAUGGGGGAGGGGUACUUCUGCAGUUGGGAUUUUUAAACUGGAGCCCCUUUCCCUUGGGCGUUUCCUUCCCCCCCACCUCUUGUCCACCUGGCAGCUCUUAGUAGUGAUUUAUGGGGUAGUCUCUCAUCACAUUGCUAGAGGGGAGAAGGUGAGGAGGCUUAAUGACAUGAAGAGGGCCCUGGGUCUGGGAUGGGUGGGCUUGUCUUUCUGGAGGGGCCCGGAGGUCCUUUUAAUACCUGGGAUUUCAUGCACAGAUUCCUCUGUGGUCAACAAAGUACGUUUUAAAAUGUUUUAAUUAAAAGAAAAGUUUUAGAAAGGACUGCCUCCCCAGCCUUGAUGCUUUGACACAAGAAGAAUAGUUUAUUCUUAAACAAGGCAUGCACACAAAAUUCACCAUAACAUUGAUUACAUUGCAAUAAGGAAUUUGUUUAUUUGACAUCUUAAAGACAAGUUGCAUAUUAGGAGAAAAUGUUUUGGAUGCAUGUAAGUUGCAAAGGUUCAGUUCAUAUUAUAUAUAAGAACUCCCAUCAUUCAACAAAAAGAGAUCAAACAACUCAAUAAGCAAAGGGUUUCACAGAAAAAGAAAUAUGUAUGGUGCAUAAAUACAUCAGGAGAUAUUCAACCUCAUUAGUUAUCAUGGAAAAAUAAAGACAAUAGUAAAUUAACAUAUAUCUAUUCAAUUGGCGAAUAUUACAACUUGUUAACAUAGGGAAUUGGAAACAAUGUAGACAGUCACUUAUGUAUUUCGAACCCUACUUUGCACUUGUAAACCAAAAAUAAAAGUCUAUGACCCCCCUCAA